rnacentral:rRNA from 1 species
GAUGAACGCUGGCGGCGUGCUUAACACAUGCAAGUCGAACGAGAAAUGUAGACGGAAACCUUCGGGCGGAAGCCUUCAUUUCGAGUGGCGGACGGGUGAGUAACGCGUGGGUAACCUGCCUCAUACAGGGGGAUAACAGUUGGAAACGACUGUUAAUACCGCAUAAGACCACAGCAUCGCAGGAUGCGGGGGUAAAAACUCCGGUGGUAUGAGAUGGACCCGCGUUCGAUUAGCCAGUUGGCGGGGUAACGGCCCACCAAAGCGACGAUCGAUAGCCGAUCUGAGAGGAUGACCGGCCACAUUGGGACUGAGACACGGCCCAAACUCCUACGGGAGGCAGCAGUGGGGAAUAUUGCACAAUGGGGGAAACCCUGAUGCAGCGACGCCGCGUGAGUGAAGAAGUACUUCGGUAUGUAAAGCUCUAUCAGCAGGGAAGAAAAUGACGGUACCUGAGUAAGGAGCCCCGGCUAACUACGUG